GACGAACGCUGGCGGCGCGCUUAACACAUGCAAGUCGAGCGAAGCGGCGGACGGGUGAGUAACACGUGAGUAACCUGCCUUAGACAUUGGGAUAGCCUCGGGAAACCGGGAUUAAUACAAAAUGGGCUAAGAUGGCCUCGCGUCCCAUUAGCUCGUUGGUGAGGUAACGGCCCACCAAGGCGACGAUGGUUAGCCGGCCUGGGAGGGUGAACGGCAACAUUGGAACUGAGAAACGGUCCAAACUCGACGGGAGGCAGCAGUGGGGAAUAUUGAACAAUGGAGGGAACUCUGAUGCAGCGACGACGCGUGAACGAAGAAGGCUUUCGAGUCGUAAAGUUCUUUUAUAUGGGAAGCGGUACCAUAAGAAAAAGCCCCGGCUAACUACGUGCCAGCAGCCGCGGUAAUUC
rnacentral:rRNA from 1 species